AAGCGUUUGUGACCAGACUUGGGCCCGGUGGAUCAUCCAGCGUUCUCGCUGGUGCACUCCGCCGGGCUCAGGCCAGCAUCAGUUCGCCGCGGGGGAUAAAAGCUUCGGGAACGUGGCUCCCUCGGGAGUGUUAUAGCCCGUUGCACAAUACCCUGCGGCGGACUGAGGUUCGCGCUCCGCAAGGAUGCUGGCGUAAUGGUCACCAGCGA
rnacentral:rRNA from 1 species